UUUCUAUUUGACCCUGGUAGAAAGUAGAAAUGUGAUUAGUAGAGCUACAUACGGAUAUUAUAUGGUUGAUUAAGUAUAAAUUAAAAAUUUUUAAAUAGUAGUAGUUAGGACUGUUAGUAUAAAGAGAUUUAAUGAUGGUUACUAGUCGUUAGAAGAGGCUAAGUCACAGUGCCAGCAGUCGCGGUUAAACUGUCUUCUUCUCAUUUUAUUUGUUGGUUGAAAUAAUUAUUGAGUAAAUUAGGAAGUGUGUUGGUAAAAUAGGUUUCUGUUGGAAAAUAAUUCAAUAAUGUAUAGAAGAAUCUGAGCAAAAUAGGGAUUGGAGACCCCUUUAUUAGAUUAUAAAGUUUUUGUCCACAGUUAUAACUGAAAGGGUUUGGCGGUAAAUUAAAUUCGUCCGGGGGAACGUGUACAUUAAAGAGAUGGUCCGCUAAAUAUUUCACUAUAAUUAGAUUUGUUAGUGUAUAUCCGUUUGUAUAUUUACAUUUAGAGAUAAUAAGUGAGUAAAUAUUCGGUAAUUUAAGACAGGUCUAUAUGCUGCUAAUAUUAUAGGUUGUUAUGCGUUACAUUUAUAAAAAUAGUAGAUGAAAUUUACUCAGAUUUAGGACUCGGAAGUAGGGGUUUAAUAGUAUGUUAUCUCGAAGGUUGAAAUAGUUUACGUACACAUCGCCCGACAAUCUCGACAAUAAGUUGAGUUAAGUCGUAACAUGGUAGUGCUUGAAGAAUCAGGCGCUAAAUUUCAUUUGUGGAUAGGG
rnacentral:ncRNA from 1 species